rnacentral:rRNA from 1 species
UACGGGGGAUGCAAGCGUUAUCCGGAAUUAUUGGGCGUAAAGGGUCCUGAGGUGGCUAGCCAAGUCUAUUGUGAAAUAUCAGGGCUUAACCCUGAACAUGCGGUGGAAACUAGAAAGCUUGAGUACAGUAGGGGCGGAGGGAAUUUCCGGUGGAGCGGUGAAAUGCAUAGAUAUCGGGAAGAACACCAACGGCGAAAGCACUCCGCUGGGCUGAUACUGACACUGACAGACGAAAGCUAGGGGAGCGAAUGGG